CUAGAAGGCAAGAAAAACUCACCAUGCCUCUGCAGUGUUGCUAGCUGUGCUUCUUCCAGCUCCCAGGAGCCUCCCUGUUUGCAGUUGUAUCUCCAGGCUUGGAGAUUGCACUUUGGAAAUGCUCACGAGAAUCCACAGUCCUUCCAGGAGCCCUGGGAUCUCGUCAUCCAGAUCAGCACACCAGGAAAUGAGGAAAUCAAAGUUCAUCGCAUCACUUCCCCAACUCAGUGAAUCAAGGGCCCACCUGCAACUGAGUAAGAAAACCAGAUCCAUCAACUUUGGGAAUUGACUGCAAUGCCUUUAUCAGCUGAUUACCACAUCCCACUUGACACUCAAGUGGUAAAGACAGAGGAGGGCUGAGAGUUUGAGGACUGAGCUUUAGAUUUCUGAAACUAGGUGGCCUUGCCAAGAAAUUCUUCAUCUGAUUAACCUACUGCACAGAACUGGUGUGUGGAUAAAUGAGUAUGAUGAACACUACAUUUCAAUCUGUAGCGGUCAGUCUUUUUAUUAUGCCUGUGGGGCUGCCGCCUACUGCUUGCUUCUAACAUGUUGUUGUUGUUUUAUUUUUACAUUUAUAUCUUAUGUCUUGUUUGUUACAGAUGGAACCUGAUGUUUUCCACAGACAUAAAUAAAUCAUUUUGCAAGCCAUUA